CUUGUCUCCACUGCUGGGCUCUCUAGACGCGCGGCUGCGGCUCCGGGGACCCAGAAGACGGGAGGGGCGGCAGAUGGACUCGGACGCCUGGCUGCUGCCCUUGACCCAAAUGACCUCCAAGGGCCGACUCCAGGAAUUCGGUGGGGAGAUUAUGAGGCCCCUGUGGCCUUGAGGCUUCCUCCCUGGUGACUGAAGACAGGAGAACGGGGACUCAGCGGGUUCCUUACCUCCAGCCCAGAGCCAUGAGCCCAGGCUGUGCCCACCCCAGGAGAGUUGUGGACCUGCCUGACCCGAGUGAACUAGGAAAGACCAUGGAGGAAACGGAGAAGGAAUCAACUUGGCCGACACCUUGGUUUCAGACUUCCAGCCUCCAGAACUAUGAGAUGUUUGACGCACAGCCUGUGGUCCUUUGUUACGGCAGCCCUAGCAAACAAACACACUGAGGAGGAAGAAGAAACGUCUAUUGGAGGUGACUCCGGAAGGCAGCCUUUGAGAGAAGUACAUGAACUACUUAAAACCUGAGUCUGACACAAGGGCCACAUACUGCAUGAUGCUGUUCGUAUGAAGCCUCCCCAACAGGCACAUAUACAGACAGAAGGUGGAUUGCCUAGGUCAGCUGAAGCGGGGGAGGGAGGAAUGACAAUGAGUAUGGGGUUUCUU
rnacentral:lncRNA from 1 species